rnacentral:rRNA from 1 species
AGAGUUUGAUCCUGGCUCAGAACGAACGCUGGCGGCGCGUCUUAAGCAUGCAAGUCGAACGGCAAGAGAGAAGCUUGCUUCUCUCCUAGAGUGGCGGACUGGUGAGGAACACGUGGGUAAUCUACCCUUAAGAUGGGGAUAGCUGCUAGAAAUAGCAGGUAAUACCGAAUAGUCUCAAUGGUUCAUAAGAAGUAUUGAGGAAAGGAAGCUACGGCUUCGCUUGAGGAUGAGCUUGCGUCCCAUUAGCUAGUUGGUGAGGUAAAGGCCCACCAAGGCGACGAUGGGUAUCCGGCCUGAGAGGGUGAUCGGACACAUUGGGACUGAGAUACGGCCCAAACUCCUACGGGAGGCAGCAGCUAAGAAUAUUCCGCAAUGGACGGAAGUCUGACGGAGCGACGCCGCGUGGAUGAAGAAGGCUGAAAAGUUGUAAAAUCCUUUUGUUGAUGAAGAAUAAGGGUGAGAGGGAAUGCUCAUCUGAUGACGGUAAUCGACGAAUAAGCCCCGGCUAAUUACGUGCCAGCAGCCGCGGUAACACGUAAGGGGCGAGCGUUGUUCGGAAUUAUUGGGCGUAAAGGGCAUGUAGGCGGUUAUGUAAGCCUGAUGUGAAAUCCUGGGGCUUAACCCUAGAAUAGCAUUGGGUACUGUAUAACUUGAAUUACGGAAGGGAAACUGGAAUUCCAAGUGUAGGGGUGGAAUCUGUAGAUAUUUGGAAGAACACCGGUGGCGAAGGCGGGUUUCUGGCCGAUAAUUGACGCUGAGAUGCGAAAGUGUGGGGAUCGAACAGGAUUAGAUACCCUGGUAGUCCACACUGUAAACGAUGUACACUAGGUGUUGGGGCAAGAGCUUCAGUGCCAAAGCAAACGCGAUAAGUGUACCGCCUGGGGAGUAUGCCCGCAAGGGUGAAACUCA